rnacentral:lncRNA from 1 species
AUGAAGAGAGGGUAUUCAUUCAAGAGGAAUCUGCAAGGAUAUCAGAAGAAAUUGAAUGUCUUCUUUUGCUCGGCAUUUCCUUCCUCACAAUUACAUCUUCUCCUGGACAGGAGCUUCUCACAAGAAACCCAGGCAGUCUUCUCUCCAUUUCUUGCAUUGAUCUCGUUCUCCAGCACGUACCUGGUUCAGGGCUUGCAAGGAACAUGGUGGAAUUGCUUCAGACAGCUACCACCAUCCACGCUCCUGCAACUGACUCUGUACAGCCAGGCCUCUGACUGCACAGCCUCUGGCAAAGGACACAAGGGACCACUCUGCUUUGGGGGGCCCAGCUGCAGAAGGCAGGAGUGGCUCUGAAGUAGCAGUGAGUCAAUAUGGAGCAAUGUGCCACAGUUUGCAUGGCUAUCAGGGAUAAUAUCCCAAAUAAAAUCAGGAGCUGUCAACUGUAAAUACUACUC